UGUUUGAGUACACCUCAAUUCCAGAUCCAGCCGGAGUUUCAUAUGGGUACACAUAUCCAUUUCCUGUCCUGAAAUCUUCACACCUGUCCAUUUUCUUGAUGGGAGAGCAUGCUAAGCAAGGGAAACUACUGAGGGAGAGGCAUCAUGCACCAAUCUAUCAACCGUCUACACAGGGAAACUACUGAGGGAGAGGCAUCAUGCACCAAUCUAUCAACCGUCUACACAGGGAAACUACUGAGGGAGAGGCAUCAUGCACCAAUCUAUCAACCGUCUACACAGGGAAACUACUGAGGGAGAGGCAUCAUGCACCAAUCUAUCAACCGUCUACACAGGGAAACUACUGAGGGAGAGGCAUCAUGCACCAAUCUAUCAACCGUCUACACAGGGAAACUACUGAGGGAGAGGCAUCAUGCACCAAUCUAUCAACCGUCUACACAGGGAAACUACUGAGGGAGAGGCAUCAUGCACCAAUCUAUCAACCGUCUACACAGGGAAACUACUGAGGGAGAGGCAUCAUGCACCAAUCUAUCAACCGUCUACACAGGGAAACUACUGAGGGAGAGGCAUCAUGUACCAAUCUAUCAACCGUCUACACAGGGAAACUACUGAGGGAGAGGCAUCAUGCACCAAUCUAUCAACCGUCUACACAGGGAAACUACUGAGGGAGAGGCAUCAUGUAACAAUCUAUCAACCAUCUACACAGGCAAACUCAGCCCACCUGUCUGUCUGUCUUUCCGUCCAUCUGUAUGAAGAAGAGGAGUACAUAACAUGUAUCACUACCACAGGCAAAAGUUAUGGGAAAUGUCCAUAUCAAUAAACUCAUUAUCCUCCA